GAUGAACGCUGGCGGCGUGCCUAACACAUGCAAGUCGAACGAAAAGACGGUGAGAUUGUGCUUUCAACGUUGGCGGCGGGCGGGUGGGUAACGCGUAGAUCACAUACUUCUAUUUCGGGGAUAAUUACGGAAAAACGGUGACGCUACCACAUCAUAUUUCGUACCGCUUAGAUCGAUAGUGCAUGGGGGCUUUGCUGUCUGUAUUAGAUGGUGUUGGGCCGGAUUAGCUAGUUGGUAAGGUAACGGCUUACCAAGGCAACGAUCCGUAGCCGACCUGAGAGGGUGAUCGGCCACACUGGAACUGAGACACGGUCCAGACUCCUACGGGAGGCAGCAGUAGGGAAUCUUCCGCAAUGGGCGAAAGCCUGACGCAGCAACGCCGCGUGAGUGAUGAAGGCCUUCGGAUCGUAAAGCCCUGUUAUUGGGGAAGAACAAACGUGGAAUUAACCGCGGACGUCUUGACGGUACCUAAUCAGAAAGCACCGGCUAACUACGUG
rnacentral:rRNA from 1 species